GAUUAAGUUAUUAAGGGCGCACGGUGGAUGCCUUGGCACUAGAAGCCGAUGAAGGACGUUACUAACGACGAUAUGCUUUGGGGAGCUGUAAGUAAGCUUUGAUCCAGAGAUUUCCGAAUGGGGAAACCCAGCAUGAGUUAUGUCAUGUUAUCGAUAUGUGAAUACAUAGCAUAUCAGAAGGCACACCCGGAGAACUGAAACAUCUUAGUACCCGGAGGAAGAGAAAGAAAAUUCGAUUCCCUUAGUAGCGGCGAGCGAAACGGGAAGAGCCCAAACCAACAAGCUUGCUUGUUGGGGUUGUAGGACACUCUAUACGGAGUUACAAAGGACGACAUUAG
rnacentral:rRNA from 1 species